rnacentral:rRNA from 1 species
GUACGGGAGGCAGCAGUGGGGAAUAUUGCGCAAUGGGGGAAACCCUGACGCAGCAACGCCGCGUGGAGGAAGAAGGUUUUCGGAUUGUAAACUCCUGUCUUCUGGGACGAUAAUGACGGUACCAGAGGAGGAAGCCACGGCUAACUACGUGCCAGCAGCCGCGGUAAUACGUAGGUGGCGAGCGUUGUCCGGAAUUACUGGGCGUAAAGGGCGCGUAGGCGGCUCUUUAAGUUAGAUGUGAAAACCCGAGGCUUAACUUCGGGAGUGCAUUUAAAACUGAAGGGCUGGAGUGCAGGAGAGGUAAGUGGAAUUCCUAGUGUAGCGGUGAAAUGCGUAGAUAUUAGGAGGAACACCAGUGGCGAAGGCGACUUACUGGACUGUAACUGACGCUGAGGCGCGAAAGCGUGGGGAGCAAACAGGAUUAGAUACCCCGGU